AAGUUUGGCUUACUGCGUCAGCAACCACUGUAGGCUGCGAUUGCAUUUGCUGUAUUGUUUAAGGAGCAUUUGGUUUCUAAGGGUUUCAUGUACUGGAUGGAAGAACUCGUGUCUGAGAACAUCCUCUGCGCUGGUUCGUUGCCUCGGGUUAACGGUCAAACAUCUAUCCACGAAGUCAAGGAGCGGCCGUGGGAUUGCGUCUAGAAACUCUCUGCGUUUGUGUUGAGUUCACACCAUUUUCUCAACUCCAGCCCCUUCAACGUACAAUUCUUGAAACAACAACACAAAAAUCUAUGUGCAUUCAAUUCAUCUCUCACGAUCAUCUAUCAAAUCACUUUAUCAGUAAUUUACAUUUUAAAGUUAUAUCAUGUUCUGGACUAACAAUGAAAACCAUUUUAUUUGAAUCCAUAUGCUGGCGGCAAAGAAGAACAGAGCAUUUGUAUUAUGUCACACAAAUUCAGCAAUCAAGUGAAUGGAGAGUUUAUAAGGGAGGUCAUUGGUGCAAUAUCUGAAGCAAACCUGCACAAACCAAUUCAGCUAAAAGAAGCACCAGAGAAAUUAGCUUUCACAUCCUAAAUGUGACAAUGACUAGCUCACUUGAGCUCAGGGUCGUGGUGGAGGUCGGUGAGUGGGACGGGUGGAAGCUGGUUUGUAUGUAUGGGGCUGUGGUGGUGGUGCGUUAUGUUUUAAUCACUGUUUUUUUACUGUGAGUGUAGGAAACGCCACGGUAGCAGUGAUGCAAU
rnacentral:misc_RNA from 1 species